UCCGUAGGGUGCGAGCGUUAAUCGGAAUUACUGGGCGUAAAGCGUGCGCAGGCGGUUUUGUAAGCCAGAUGCGAAAGCCCCGGGCUUAACCUGGGAAUGGCAUUUGGGACUGCAAGGCUUGAGUGCGGCAGAGGAGACUGGAAUUCCUGGUGUAGCAGUGAAAUGCGUAGAUAUCAGGAGGAAUACCGAUGGCGAAGGCAGGUCUCUGGGCUGACACUGACGCUCAUGCACGAAAGCGUGGGGAGCAAGCAGG
rnacentral:rRNA from 1 species